AGUGAACGCUGGCGGUAGGCCUAACACAUGCAAGUCGAACGGCAGCACAGUAAGAGCUUGCUCGUACGGGUGGCGAGUGGCGGACGGGUGAGGAAUACAUCGGAAUCUACUUUUUCGUGGGGGAUAACGUAGGGAAACUUACGCUAAUACCGCAUACGACCUACGGGGGAAAGCAGGGGAUCUUCGGACCUUGCGCGGUUGAAUGAGCCGAUGUCGGAUUGGCCAGUUGGCGGGGUAAAGGCCCACCAAGGCGACGAUCCGUAGCUGGUCUGAGAGGAUGAUCAGCCACACUGGAACUGAGACACGGUCCAGACGCCUACGGGAGGCAGCAGUGGGGAAUAUUGGACAAUGGGCGCAAGCCUGAUCCAGCCAUACCGCGUGGGUGAAGAAGGCCUUCGGGUUGUAAAGCCCUUUUGUUGGGAAAGAAAAGCAGCAGGUUAAUACCCCGCUGUUCUGACGGUACCCAAAGAAUAAGCACCGGCUAACUUCGUG
rnacentral:rRNA from 1 species